GAUGAACGAGGGAGGCGUGCCUAAUACAUGCAAGUCGAGCGAACAGAUAAGGAGCUUGCUCCUUUGACGUUAGCGGCGGACGGGUGAGUAACACGUGGGUAACCUAUCUAUAAGACUGGAAUAACUCCGGGAAACCGGGGCUAAUGCCGGAUAACAUGUUGAACCGCAUGGUUCUACAGUGAAAGGCGGCUUUGCUGUCACUUAUAGAUGGACCCGCGCCGUAUUAGCUAGUUGGUGAGGUAACGGCUCACCAAGGCAACGAUACGUAGCCGACCUGAGAGGGUGAUCGGCCACACUGGAACUGAGACACGGUCCCGACUCCUACGGGAGGCAGCAGUAGGGAAUCUUCCGCAAUGGGCGAAAGCCUGACGGAGCAACGCCGCGUGAGUGAUGAAGGUCUUCGGAUCGUAAAACUCUGUUAUUAGGGAAGAACAAAUGCGUAAGUAACUGUGCGCGUCUUGACGGUACCUAAUCAGAAAGCCACGGCUAACUACGUG
rnacentral:rRNA from 1 species